GAUGAACGCUGGCGGCGUGCCUAAUACAUGCAAGUCGAACGCAUAGCGAAAGGUGCUUGCACCUUUCAAGUGAGUGGCGAACGGGUGAGUAACACGUGGACAACCUGCCUCAAGGCUGGGGAUAACAUUUGGAAACAGAUGCUAAUACCGAAUAAAACCUAGUGUCGCAUGACACAAAGUUAAAAGGCGCUUCGGCGUCACCUAGAGAUGGAUCCGCGGUGCAUUAGUUAGUUGGUGGGGUAAAGGCCUACCAAGACAAUGAUGCAUAGCCGAGUUGAGAGACUGAUCGGCCACAUUGGGACUGAGACACGGCCCAAACUCCUACGGGAGGCUGCAGUAGGGAAUCUUCCACAAUGGGCGAAAGCCUGAUGGAGCAACGCCGCGUGUGUGAUGAAGGCUUUCGGGUCGUAAAGCACUGUUGUAUGGGAAGAACAGCUAGAAUAGGAAAUGAUUUUAGUUUGACGGUACCAUACCAGAAAGGGACGGCUAAAUACGUG
rnacentral:rRNA from 1 species